rnacentral:rRNA from 1 species
GAUGAACGCUGGCGGCGUGCCUAAUACAUGCAAGUCGAGCGAACGGACGAGAAGCUUGCUCCUCUGAUGUUAGCGGCGGACGGGCGAGUAACACGUGGAUAACAUACCUAUAAGACUGGGAUAACUUCGGGAAACCGGAGCUAAUACCGGAUAAUAUUUUGAACCGCAUGGUUCAAAAGAGAAAGACGGUUUUGCCGUCACUUAUAGAUGGAUCCGCGCUGCAUUAGCUAGUUGGUAAGGUAACGGCUUACCAAGGCAACGAUGCAUAGCCGACCUGAGAGGAUGAUCAGCCACACUGGAACUGAGACACGGUCCAGACUCCUACGGGAGGCAGCAGUAGGGAAUCUUCCGCAAUGGGCGAAAGCCUGACGGAGCAACGCCGCGUGAGUGAUGAAGGUCUUCGGAUCGUAAAGCUCUGUUAUUAGGGAAGAACAUAUGUGUAAGUACCUGUGCACAUCUUGACGGUACCUAAUCAGAAAGCCACGGCUAACUACGUG